rnacentral:lncRNA from 1 species
UUUCAUUCACCCACAUACUCAAUCUCAUCAUCUCCCCCAAAUCUCUCUUCAGAGACCCCAAACAACCUUCAAAACCCUAGCACCGGCCUAAAAACCCACCACUCUAAGCCGGCGGCGCCGGCUUCGAUAGCCACCAAACUCACACCCCUAAAACACCUAGACCCCCCACCCCCCGAAAUCUUUGCCCAGUUUCCCUCGAAUCCCAACCGAUGUCGUCGAAUCUUCAAUCAAAGAUUGGUCCAAAACCCUAGUCAAAUCAAUUCACCCCAAAUCAAAACCCCUUGACCACUACACCUUCCUCAUCCCUAAUCGAACACAAUUUUUCUACGAAUCAAGUUGGAAAUUCUCGAAUAUUAUUUCAAAUGGAUGAACCCUAAGAAUUGAUGCGAGUUUGGAGAACUGAAGUCGUAAUUGACCUUAAUAGUGUGUUCUCAAUCGAGAACACUCGCUUAAGGUUCAUUUCAACUUCAAAUGAGAGAAUCAAGGUUUUCAAGUUCAAGACAUGCUUUGGUUGGGUUUGAGGUAUUUACAUGGUUCUUUCCUUCUCAUUUUUUCAAUUUUUCUUCUGCUUCAUUGUGUUUCAUCUAUUAGUACUAGCCAUUGCUUCAUGUUCUCUGUCAUGCCGUAGUUUUAAUACAGAAUUUCAUGAGGCUAGUAUUAGGUUUCUCUAUAUGUUUCCUGUCCGUUAACGUGCUUUAAUUGCGUAAUGUUUCUCUAUUUGUUUUUUGUUCGUUAAUGUUUUUUGUUCCAAUGUCUGUUUGAUUGGUUUAUGAUAGAUUUUAUGGUAUUGUUAGUAUUAUUGGCUAGAAAAGUCCUGUUAGCUUUUGUGAAGAUAAAGUUUUAAAUAUGUGUUCUUCAUGUUUGUACAGUCUUAUGUACCUCAGUAUUAGGUUUGUUAGAUUUGUUUUAAGAGAUGUUUUUGCCAUGUUUGUUUGUCCUUAAUGAGCUUGUGGAUUAACUGAACAAUACAGUAGUAGGAUAGUGAAUUCAAGGACCUAGGGGUAAUUCAGGAAGUCUAGCUUAAGGGAAUCUCACUGAUCAAUUAAGAAAUGUAAAGGGGACCAGUUAGUGAAAAGGACAGCUUUUAGAACACCUUUACUAGUUGAAAAUCAGAAACAGUAGGUUAAUAAUGAAAGAUUAAAAGCCUAAAGGGGUACACAUGGGAGGGAAUAUACAACUGUAAAGAAAAAGUGUUUAAAAGAAAAGGGAGCAAAACUUGUUCUUUAAAUAGAGGAAGAGAACAUUCUAAUAAGGGGCUUAAGCUUGAACAUCUGAAACACAUUAAGAAUUCAUAGGGGGUGUCUUUUUGGAAUCAGAUUAUUAGAGAAAGAGAGGAAAGAAUGCACUAAAAUCUUGAGCCUCAAAAAACAUACAGUUACAUUGCUUUCUUUUGGUCUACUUUCGAGUUUCUAGCUCAUUUUGGAUCAAAUCUACUUCAAUCUCCUUGUUCUAUUCCAUAUUUGGUAUUUUAAAAUAGUUCGAGUCCUCUAGGUAUUGGAUUUGGAUAAUUUAAGCCAACUGUGGUCCAUUUGUUUAGUAUUCAUCUUCUGCUUUCAUUUCUGGGCCUUGUUGGUGCUGUUUAGAAGCUGAUUUUUAGUCUAGUGCGGUUUUAAAACGUCUUUGGGAUCAUUGAGUUAUUUUUGGGCUGAGAUCAAUUGUGUUUUGUUGUUCUUUUUUCAUUGUUGGAUACUAGCUGUUUGCUACUUGCUGCUGAUCUUUUCUUCUUCUUCUUCUUCUUCUUCUUCUUCUUCUUCUUCUUCUUCAUUAUUUCGACUUCAAGGUACACUUCCUCAAUUAUCCUGAUGUAGUUUUGAAAAUAAAGUUGGAAUAAAAGUUGCACCAGAUCUAUGUGUUGAAGAAUGCAUUCUGUAGGUUGUAGAUUGUAGUUAACUAGUUGUAGUUAAUUUGUUAACCUAUAUUAAUAUUACAUAAAUAAUGGGUAGAGGGCUUGCAUAAUGGGGACUGUUUUAGGUUUGUUUGGACUGUGAAUUAAGGCUAAACAUUCUGUAUUUUGUUACAUUUGCUUAAUUUUAGUUUAGUUUAGUUUAGCCCCAGACAAGUACUGAAUGCUUUGAAACUUGUGGUUUGGCAUAAUCUAGCGUCGCUAAUGAAUUACAAAU